rnacentral:rRNA from 1 species
UACGUAGGAUGCGAGCGUUGUUCGGAUUUAUUGGGCGUAAAGCGUGCGUAGGCGGUUACAAAAGUCUGGUGUUAAAGCUAGGGGCUCAACCCCUGUGAUGCACUGGAAACUAUGUGACUUGAGUGCGGUAGGGGAAGGUGGAAUUCCGAGUGUAGCGGUGAAAUGCGUAGAUAUUCGGAUGAACACCGGUGGCGAAGGCGACCUUCUGGGCCGCAACUGACGCUGAGGCACGAAAGCGUGGGGAGCAAACAGG